CCCUUAGACGUUCUGGGCCGCACGCGCGCUACACUGACGGAGCCAGCGAGUAUAAACCUUGGCCGAGAGGUCUGGGAAAUCUUGUGAAACUCCGUCGUGCCGGGGAUAGAGCAUUGUAAUUAUUGCUCUUCAACGAGGAAUUCCUAGUAAGCGCAAGUCAUCAGCUUGCGUUGAUUACGUCCCUGCCCUUUGUACACACCGCCCGUCGCUACUACCGAUUGAAUGGCUUAGUGAGGCUUCCGGAUUGGUUUAGAGAAGGGGGCAACUCCAUCUUGGAACCGAGAAGCUAGUCAAACUUGGUCAUUUAGAGGAAGUAAAAGUCGUAACA
rnacentral:rRNA from 1 species